AUGACCAGAGAUACUUUAGCUUUGCUUGAUCUACCAAAGGCUCAGGCCCGGCUGCUUCCGGGCCAUGGAUGGAGGCUACCUGAGGAGGGGGAGGUCAAGAUAAACACUAAUGAAAGUGUUGCAUUGGAAGCUCGAAGAGGAGGGGUGGGAGGAGUUGCUCGAUCCCAUUCCACUUUCAGAGCUGCAUGGUGUAAACCUUAUCAGGGGAUUACCGACCCCCUUAUCUCUGAAACCCUAGCAAUCCGGGACGGUGUCAUAUUUGCUAAGCUCAGGGGUUAUGAGAAAGUCGUGAUAGAAUCCGACUGCCUGGAGGUCGUUAAUCUCUGGAACUCGCGUCCUGGUGAUAGGACUGUUGUGGCGCCCAUCCUGUCCGAAAUUUUGGAGCAUUCUUCUAGUUUUUCUUUCUGUAUUCAAUAUAUUUCAAGAACAGCCAACUACCCUGCUCACCUAUGUGCUAGACAUGCAAGCAUACUGGAUGUAACAGAAUGUUGGUUUGACUCUGCCCCUGGCAUCAUUGUAACUAGCCUCCUUGCAGAUUCUGCAGGGGCUUCGAUUGUUGAAUAA
rnacentral:rRNA from 1 species